rnacentral:rRNA from 1 species
UACAGAGGUCCCAAGCGUUGUUCGGAAUCACUGGGCGUAAAGGGUGCGUAGGCGGGUCUUUAAGUCAGGGGUGAAAUCCUGGAGCUCAACUCCAGAACUGCCUUUGAUACUGAAGAUCUUGAGUUCGGGAGAGGUGAGUGGAACUGCGAGUGUAGAGGUGAAAUUCGUAGAUAUUCGCAAGAACACCAGUGGCGAAGGCGGCUCACUGGCCCGGUACUGACGCUGAGGUGCGAAAGCGUGGGGAGCAAACAGG